GGGUUGUGAGGUUAAGCGACUAAGCGUACACGGUGGAUGCCCUGGCAGUCAGAGGCGAUGAAGGACGUGCUAAUCUGCGAUAAGCGUCGGUAAGGUGAUAUGAACCGUUAUAACCGGCGAUUUCCGAAUGGGGAAACCCAGUGUGUUUCGACACACUAUCAUUAACUGAAUCCAUAGGUUAAUGAGGCGAACCGGGGGAACUGAAACAUCUAAGUACCCCGAGGAAAAGAAAUCAACCGAGAUUCCCCCAGUAGCGGCGAGCGAACGGGGAGCAGCCCAGAGCCUGAAUCAGUGUGUGUGUUAGUGGAAGCGUCUGGAAAGGCGCGCGAUACAGGGUGACAGCCCCGUACACAAAAAUGCACAUGCUGUGAGCUCGAUGAGUAGGGCGGGACACGUGGUAUCCUGUCUGAAUAUGGGGGGACCAUCCUCCAAGGCUAAAUACUCCUGACUGACCGAUAGUGAACCAGUACCGUGAGGGAAAGGCGAAAAGAACCCCGGCGAGGGGAGUGAAAAAGAACCUGAAACCGUGUACGUACAAGCAGUGGGAGCACGCUUAGGCGUGUGACUGCGUACCUUUUGUAUAAUGGGUCAGCGACUUAUAUUCUGUAGCAAGGUUAACCGAAUAGGGGAGCCGAAGGGAAACCGAGUCUUAACUGGGCGUUAAGUUGCAGGGUAUAGACCCGAAACCCGGUGAUCUAGCCAUGGGCAGGUUGAAGGUUGGGUAACACUAACUGGAGGACCGAACCGACUAAUGUUGAAAAAUUAGCGGAUGACUUGUGGCUGGGGGUGAAAGGCCAAUCAAACCGGGAGAUAGCUGGUUCUCCCCGAAAGCUAUUUAGGUAGCGCCUCGUGAAUUCAUCUCCGGGGGUAGAGCACUGUUUCGGCAAGGGGGUCAUCCCGACUUACCAACCCGAUGCAAACUGCGAAUACCGGAGAAUGUUAUCACGGGAGACACACGGCGGGUGCUAACGUCCGUCGUGAAGAGGGAAACAACCCAGACCGCCAGCUAAGGUCCCAAAGUCAUGGUUAAGUGGGAAACGAUGUGGGAAGGCCCAGACAGCCAGGAUGUUGGCUUAGAAGCAGCCAUCAUUUAAAGAAAGCGUAAUAGCUCACUGGUCGAGUCGGCCUGCGCGGAAGAUGUAACGGGGCUAAACCAUGCACCGAAGCUGCGGCAGCGACGCUUAUGCGUUGUUGGGUAGGCUGUGAGGCAUGCUGGAGGUAUCAGAAGUGCGAAUGCUGACAUAAGUAACGAUAAAGCGGGUGAAAAGCCCGCUCGCCGGAAGACCAAGGGUUCCUGUCCAACGUUAAUCGGGGCAGGGUGAGUCGACCCCUAAGGCGAGGCCGAAAGGCGUAGUCGAUGGGAAACAGGUUAAUAUUCCUGUACUUGGUGUUACUGCGAAGGGGGGACGGAGAAGGCUAUGUUGGCCGGGCGACGGUUGUCCCGGUUUAAGCGUGUAGGCUGGUUUUCCAGGCAAAUCCGGAAAAUCAAGGCUGAGGCGUGAUGACGAGGCACUACGGUGCUGAAGCAACAAAUGCCCUGCUUCCAGGAAAAGCCUCUAAGCAUCAGGUAACAUCAAAUCGUACCCCAAACCGACACAGGUGGUCAGGUAGAGAAUACCAAGGCGCUUGAGAGAACUCGGGUGAAGGAACUAGGCAAAAUGGUGCCGUAACUUCGGGAGAAGGCACGCUGAUAUGUAGGUGAGGUCCCUCGCGGAUGGAGCUGAAAUCAGUCGAAGAUACCAGCUGGCUGCAACUGUUUAUUAAAAACACAGCACUGUGCAAACACGAAAGUGGACGUAUACGGUGUGACGCCUGCCCGGUGCCGGAAGGUUAAUUGAUGGGGUUAGCGCAAGCGAAGCUCUUGAUCGAAGCCCCGGUAAACGGCGGCCGUAACUAUAACGGUCCUAAGGUAGCGAAAUUCCUUGUCGGGUAAGUUCCGACCUGCACGAAUGGCGUAAUGAUGGCCAGGCUGUCUCCACCCGAGACUCAGUGAAAUUGAACUCGCUGUGAAGAUGCAGUGUACCCGCGGCAAGACGGAAAGACCCCGUGAACCUUUACUAUAGCUUGACACUGAACAUUGAGCCUUGAUGUGUAGGAUAGGUGGGAGGCUUUGAAGUGUGGACGCCAGUCUGCAUGGAGCCGACCUUGAAAUACCACCCUUUAAUGUUUGAUGUUCUAACGUUGACCCGUAAUCCGGGUUGCGGACAGUGUCUGGUGGGUAGUUUGACUGGGGCGGUCUCCUCCUAAAGAGUAACGGAGGAGCACGAAGGUUGGCUAAUCCUGGUCGGACAUCAGGAGGUUAGUGCAAUGGCAUAAGCCAGCUUGACUGCGAGCGUGACGGCGCGAGCAGGUGCGAAAGCAGGUCAUAGUGAUCCGGUGGUUCUGAAUGGAAGGGCCAUCGCUCAACGGAUAAAAGGUACUCCGGGGAUAACAGGCUGAUACCGCCCAAGAGUUCAUAUCGACGGCGGUGUUUGGCACCUCGAUGUCGGCUCAUCACAUCCUGGGGCUGAAGUAGGUCCCAAGGGUAUGGCUGUUCGCCAUUUAAAGUGGUACGCGAGCUGGGUUUAGAACGUCGUGAGACAGUUCGGUCCCUAUCUGCCGUGGGCGCUGGAGAACUGAGGGGGGCUGCUCCUAGUACGAGAGGACCGGAGUGGACGCAUCACUGGUGUUCGGGUUGUCAUGCCAAUGGCACUGCCCGGUAGCUAAAUGCGGAAGAGAUAAGUGCUGAAAGCAUCUAAGCACGAAACUUGCCCCGAGAUGAGUUCUCCCUGACCCUUUAAGGGUCCUGAAGGAACGUUGAAGACGACGACGUUGAUAGGCCGGGUGUGUAAGCGCAGCGAUGCGUUGAGCUAACCGGUACUAAUGAACCGUGAGGCUUAACCUUACAACGCCGAAGCUGUU
rnacentral:rRNA from 1 species